ACACAUGAAUGUAACAUAUAUGCAUUGAGUUCUUUAUUAUGGUAACGAUUUGAGUUGAAGUGUAAACGUGUUUGAGUUUUGGCCCUUUUGGGGCAAAUUUCGUGUAUGGUUUCCGAGUGAUGUUUACUUAAUUUUUAAAUUGUAAUUUCUGUGGUUGAUUAUUAUUAUUUAGCUGGAGUAUUGAAGUUCAUGGUUUGAUGUGAAGGAGAGAAAAAGAAUGAUUUUUGGAAAUUGUUUUAUGCAUUUAAGAAUUACUCCAUAGCAAAGAGUCAAAUGAAGUAAGAAAAUGGAUUUACUGAUCAAUUUAGAAGCUGAUUUUUAAGGUUUGGAAGUUAAUUUUUUUUUUUAAAUUAUCUUUUGUUUGGUUUACUCCCAUGAAGAAUGGGUUUUAGUUCCUUGGAGAGGCCUUCCUUGCCAAAGAAGCCAAGUUUUUUUUUUUUUGCUUCCCAAGAUUAUGGCAAACAUUACAAGUUAGCUAAGUGGGUUCAGGAGAUUUAUGGGUUGUUUAAAAAAAGAAAUAGAGGAGCUUUUAGUUGUUGAGUUUAUUUCAGGGUACUCACUCCAUGGUUAUGUCUUGUUUAUCUGUUAGGUGUUUAUAGGUGGGUUUGAGAGAUUUUUCAUUUUUGUUUGUUCAUGACUUUGGUGGAAACAUCUAAUGGAGGAUUGUGCAUUGGUGUUGGUUUGUUGCCAGUUAUUGGAAAUUUCAGUCCCUGUUGUUAGUUCCAUUAGUUAUGAUCAAUCUCAUUUGGCAUUUGACAUUUUAUUCUUUUAGCAAAUGGAUAUAAAGAGUUUGUUAAAAUUAAAUGCUAUUUUAAACCUUUAGGUGCUCUUGAAAAGUUGUAGAUAAGUGUUAAAAUUCUUACUGUGACAAAGGCAUUGCUAGUCUUUCCUUAAGUCUAUGGAUACAGAGAUUUACAGUGUUGAUGCUACUGUAGUUACAAAGGCAUUCGCUUAUAAUGUGGGUUCUAGAAGCUAGAAAAGAAAAGGUAAGGAUGCUUUUGAGAUGUGUGAUAUUUAUUUAGUUGGAGUGUCAUUCUACCUAAUGUAAUUGUAUAUUCUAUUUGAAUUUAUGUUUUAAGUUUUUGUGUAGAUAAAUUUUUAUUUGUAGGUACUUGAAGGUAAACAGCAACACAGUCCUGGCAUGUCUUCUUGAACUUCACUUCAAUUGGGCUUUCUUUGGACUCAUGUGUACGCUUUUUGCAAGAUGGACCAUAUAAAAUUGGAGAGGAGCGUGACACGAGUUGAGAAGGGCUGACAAUUACAAGGAUAGAAUAAAAAGGGGGAAAUGAGACAGAGACAGAGGCAAGCAAAAAAUUGAGAUUGGUUGAGGAAACUUGUAGGAGAGAACCUGGUCUCUCUAAUACCGGGCGAAGGAGAGGUUUCCAGCGCCCUCCAAUUUACCAGGAGAUUGUGUUGAGCCGUUUUGUGUAGGUACACAUCGAAUUGAGCUAUUUGGUGGAGAGGAUUUCUCGUUUGACAUCCAACCAGAUGGAAAGAUAAACAAAAAGGAAGUAACAACUUGUGAGAAUACAGUCUGGAAGAACUCCCAAGUCUUGAAGAUGCAAACACAUCAUCUUUGUCCACCUUGGCUGUUCACCAUCACAUUCUGGCUACCAGUUCUGGUCAAUAUCUGACACUUUUCUGGAAAUUUUGGUACUGACAGGAUUCUUGAAGGUGUUGUGAAGAAAAGGUGAUUGUUAUCUAUCCAUCGUUAAACUAUCACGCCUUUGUUAAAGAUCAUUGAUCAUUUUUCCAUCAGGGACUAAUUGAUUUUAGUGAGGGCAUGACUGUGGCAAGAGGUAUUCUGAGUAUCAUAUGGUUGUGGUAGAUAUAAAGAAGAUCAGAUAAAGUGACUUUGCAGAAGCAUUAGCUCCCAAUGUUUUUAGAUGCUGAAAUGAAUCACUGAGUUGAUCCCGUGUUAUUGCAACUUGAGACUCAACACUGUAUCAUAUGGUUGUGGUUGAUAUAAAGAAGAUCAGAUAAAGCAACUUUGCAGAGGCAUUAGCUCCUGACAUUUUUAGUUGCUGAAAUGAGUCACUGGGUUGAUCCCUUGUUAUUGCAACUUGAGACUAUGUUGAGUUUCAUUCAAUGAUAAUUUCAGCAACUUCUAGCUCAGAAAUGGGUCUUCCCUGUUCUGUAACACCUGUAUUCAUAUCAGUGAGGUCCUUUCGGGUUCAAUUUUGUUUAGUGAACUUGCAAUUUUUUUUGGUAAUAUUAUGGUUAUUCCCAAAGAAGGAACCACUUGGAAGAAGUAACAAUUUAUUUUCAUUUUCUGGCCCUGCUUUUCUUGUUACCUGUGGUUGUAAAGGUGGCUUAUAAAACAUUUUUUAUGUAUCUUGAAACAUUGAAGUGUUAAAUGACUCUCAAAUAAAAUCACCAAAGACUGCAGGCAUCAGAACACAGGUCAAUAAUUGCAUUUCAACUGCACUGUAGCCAUGGGUUUUUACAGUGUUUCUGUUCUUCAGAAACUCUCUGGCGGUCUUUACAUCUUGCCAUCUACCAGCCCAAGCGUAUAUAUUAGAAAGAAGCACGUGAACUCUACCACCAAGUGGUUCCAACUCUCCCAUGCGACUUCUUACUAGUUUUCAUAUAUUUCACAUCCAUUCAAGAGAGCUCCCCAUGCUGCAGCAUUUGGCAUGACAGGCAUUUGCUCUACUAAUCUCUCUGCUUCUUUGAAGCGUCCAGCUUGGCUCAAAAGAUAAACCAUGCAGCCAUAGUGUUCUACUGAAGGCAAUAUGCCAUUCAGUCAGUCUAGCAUGAGUGCAGACACAUAAAACUCCAAUGUAUGUGACUUGGACAGGAGUCACACUAGGGUCCUCUUUCAUUCUCUUGAAAGUGCACAGUUCCUCUUUCCCAUGUCCAUGCAUAGCUAAGCCUAUAAUCAUGCUUGUCAAUGCCAUGGCAUCUUUGGUCUGCAAAUUACGAAAAAUGCCCCUAGCAGUAUUUGCAUCUCCAAUUUUGGCAUACAUAUUCACUAAAGCUGUUCCUAUAGCAGUAUUUCUGUCAAUGGUCAGUUUUGAUACAUAGGCAUGAAGACUUUGUCCCAAGGCCAAAGCACCCAACUUGGCAGAGGCACCUAUUACACUCAAGAAGUUUUGGUAGUGUAAUGUUAUUUUUGAAACUAUAGGGAUUCUAAAUGUAUUAACAUUGGGGUGUCCAUGUAAUUAUCUUAAAUACAAACGCACGCAAAGAGAACCAGAUAAGUGACGUGAUUUAUGAAUUUUAAACGUGAUUUGACGGGUCAACACCGGUUCUUCCCAUGGUGGACUCCCCAGGUCAUCAUCCGUCCUCUGCAUCUCACUCUAUAAACUCAUUGUUUCAACUCAGCUGUGGCUUCUUCGUUCAGGACCCAUGUAUAUGCUUCUCACAAGAAGGACCAUAUAAAAUUGGACAGAAUACUAAGGGGGAAAUGGAGAGAGAGAGGCAACCAAAAAAUUGAUAUUGGUUGUGGAAACUUGUAGGAGUGAACCUGGUCUCUUGAAUACCAAGCGAGGAGAGGGUUCUAGCACUCUCGAAUUUGCCGGGAGAUGUGUUGAGCUGUUUAGUGGAGGUAUGCAUCAAAUUGAGCUGGUUGGUUGAGUUGAGUUUUGGUUUGACACCCAACCAGAUGGAACUUUAAGAUGCAAGGCAACAUCUUUGUCCACCUGGGCUGUUCACCAUCACAUUCCAGCUACCAGUUCUGGUAAAUAUCUGACACUUUUUCGUAUAGUUUGGUACUGACAGGAUUCUUGAAGGCAUUGUGAAGAAAAGGAGGUUGCUAUCUAUCCAUCUUUAAACUAUCACACCUUUUUUAAAGAUCAUCGACUACUUUUACAUCAAGGACUAAUUGAUUUAAGCCAGGGCUUGACUGUGGCAAGAGGUAUUCCUGGUAUCAUAUGGUUGUGGUAGAUAUAAAGAAGAUCAGAGAAAGCGACUUUGCAGAAGCAUUAGCUCCUGAUAUUUUUAGAUGCUGAAAUGAAUCACUGGGUUGAUCCCUUGUUAUUGCAACUUGAGACUCAACACUGUAUCAUAUGGCCGUGGUAGAUAUAAAGAAAAUCAGAUAAAGCGACUAUGUAGAAGCAUUAGCUCCUGAUAUUUUUAGAUGCUGAAAUGAAUCACUGGGUUGAUCCCUUUGUUAUUGCAACUUGAGACUCAACACUGUAUCAUGUGGUUGUGGUAGAUAUAGAGAAGAUCAGAUAAAGCGACUUUGCAGAAGCAUUAGCUCCUGAUAUUUUUAAAUGCUGAAAUGAAUCACUGGGUUGAUCCCUUGUUAUUGCAACUUGAGGCUAUGUUGAGUUUCGUUCAAUGAUAAUUUCAGCAACUUGUAGCUCAGAAUAAGUCUUCCCUGAUCUGUAACACGUGUAUUCAUAUCAGUGAGGUCCUUUUGAGUUCUCUUUUUUUAA